rnacentral:rRNA from 1 species
AGAGUUUGAUCAUGGCUCAGAUUGAACGCUGGCGGCAUGCCUUACACAUGCAAGUCGAACGGCAGCACGGGUGCUUGCACCUGGUGGCGAGUGGCGAACGGGUGAGUAAUGCACCGGAACGUAUCCAAUAAUGGGGGAUAACGCACCGAAAGGUGUGCUAAUACCGCAUACGCCCUGAGGGGGAAAGCGGGGGAUCGUAAGACCUCGCGUUAAUGGAGCGGCCGAUGCCGGAUUAGCUAGUUGGUGAGGUAAAGGCUCACCAAGGCGACGAUCCGUAGCUGGUCUGAGAGGACGACCAGCCACACUGGAACUGAGACACGGUCCAGACUCCUACGGGAGGCAGCAGUGGGGAAUUUUGGACAAUGGGCGCAAGCCUGAUCCAGCCAUUCCGCGUGAGUGAAGAAGGCCUUCGGGUUGUAAAGCUCUUUCGCAAGGAAAGAAAACUUAUCUCCUAAUACGAGGUGAGGUUGACGGUACCUUGAUAAGAAGCACCGGCUAACUACGUG